rnacentral:rRNA from 1 species
UACGUAGGUGGCAAGCGUUGUCCGGAAUUAUUGGGCGUAAAGCGCGCGCAGGCGGUCCUUUAAGUCUGAUGUGAAAGCCCACGGCUCAACCGUGGAGGGUCAUUGGAAACUGGGGGACUUGAGUGCAGGAGAGAAGAGUGGAAUUCCACGUGUAGCGGUGAGAUGCGUAGAGAUGUGGAGGAACACCAGUGGCGAAGGCGACUCUUUGGUCUGUAACUGACGCUGAGGCGCGAAAGCGUGGGGAGCAAACAGG